rnacentral:tRNA from 4 species
GGGCAAGUGGCGAAGUGGUAACGCAGCGGACUGCAAAUCCGCGAUGCACCGGUUCAAAUCCGGUCUUGCCCUCCA